rnacentral:rRNA from 1 species
AAGCUCUUGAUUGAAGUCCCAGUAAACGGCGGCCGUAACAAUAACGGUCCUAAGGUAGCGAAAUUCCUUGUCGGGUAAGUUCCGACCUGCACGAAUGGCGUAACGAUGGCCACACUGUCUCCUCCCGAGACUCAGCGAAGUUGAAAUGUUUGUGAUGAUGCAAUCUCCCCGCGGAAAGACGGAAAGACCCCAUGAACCUUUACUGUAGCUUUGUAUUGGACUUUGAACAGAUCUGUGUAGGA